UCCCGUGUGGCUCAGUUGGUAGAGCAUGGUGUUUGCAACGCCAGGAUUGUGGGUUCGAUUCCCACAGGGGAC
rfam:Salmo salar isolate Sally breed double haploid chromosome ssa06, whole genome shotgun sequence.